rnacentral:rRNA from 1 species
GACGAACCGUGCGAACGUUGUUCGGAUUCACUGGGCUUAAAGGGCGCGUAGGCGGUCGACCAAGUCUGGGGUGAAAUCUUUCGGCUUAACCGGAAAAGUGCCCCCGAUACUGGCCGGCUAGAGGGAGAUAGGGGCAUGUGGAACUUCCGGUGGAGCGGUGAAAUGCGUAGAUAUCGGAAGGAACGCCGGUGGCGAAAGCGACGUGCUGGAUCUCUUCUGACGCUGAGGCGCGAAAGCCAGGGGAGCAAACAGG